UAACCAGCAUAUAGAGACCAUCUCUCCCUGAUGCUGCUGAAUAGAUAUGCAGUUCACCGUCCUUCCUGUGUGCAAAACACAGUUACACUAAGGACAAGAACUCAGGUGGAUCUGGUGGCUUCUGAGAAGUCCUGAUGAAUAUAGAUGAAGAUACUCAUGGAGCAACCAGAGAUAUGAGUACUGGGGUACAGCAGAGAACUUAAGACUAAAGACUUAAAUGUGGGAACAUCAACAAAGGGUGAUCAACAAUAGGAAUUGAUUAGUUUCCUGAGGAAAUGUUGUAGCUUGUGAGAGCAAACCAAGGCCAGAGCUCUGAAGGUGACAUUUCUUAAAUGAGCCAGCAUACAACAAAGCACUGAAGAGGACUGGGGGCAGUAAAAGUGAGUCAAGGUUCCAGUGACAUUGGAAGACGAAGUAAAAGACUUCCAACAAGGAAGAAAAAAGCCAACAAAAUGAUGACAGGUGUUGGUUUGAUUGGAGUCUAUAUGGCUUUAGAAUUGUUUGAAUGCAUAGGGGCAGAAGCUUUUUCCUGCAAGUUGGUUUAUAGAUUCAGGCUAAAGAAAUGAAGAGUGUUGAGGGUACCCUCUUGAGAAAAAAAGAGUGAAGGAAAAUGCAGAUUAGGAGAGGAGGGUCCUCAAGAGAGAAGGUACUGAGUGAUGGCUAUGGUCCUCAGGAUGAAAUGAGGUCAGUAACUCUGGGAGAAGAUCCUCAUGAGGUUGGAAAUUAGUGUUUGGUAGCCAUCAAAUACCUGAGAAGUUGACAAUCAAGGUGAAUAGAUCUGGCGUGGAGAAGGAGGGGGAGAGUGUGGUAAUGGCAUAUGAUAUAGAAAUGUAGGCUAUAGAUAUGAUAGGAUGAAAGGGUAGAUUAUUAAAUCUGCUUUUAAAGAGCAGCAACUUGUUUAAAAUGUUUUAUAUUGCUAUGGAUUUUAGUUUAUUGAUACAAAUUUAAAGUUAAUUUUGUUAUAUUGUAUGUAUAUUUCUACUCUUGUUUUAAGUAUUUUGUUUGUGCAGCUCAUUUGAAAUUGUAAUGUAUAGUUGAGAAAUACAGAUUAAUAAUUAGUCAUCUAUGAUAAUCAAACUUAUAGUCAUGUUAGUUAAGUUUUCUAGGUAUGCAUAGAUAUAUUUCGAUUAGGUAGUCAAUCUUCAAACACUUCAAAGACCUACAGAAUAUGGCAUUUAAGAUGUUUUAAAAACUUAGGCUUUCCUGGACAAUGAAACAUGUCUGCUCCUGGCAAUACUGAUUUACUUAAAAAAAAAAAAAAAAGAUGGGCAUCAAAGACACUCCAUAUGGAGUUUAUCUUCUUGGCAAAAUAGCCAUUUUGGCAAGAAACUGUUCUUGCCUGGACUGCUUGACAAAAUGUUGUAUCAACUGGACAUGCAGGACCCAUGGGAAAAUGACCACUAAAUUUGUCAAAACAAGGCAAGAUGGUCCUUCAGGUUCCUGCUUUGCAGAGGAGACUGCAAAACAUUCUACAGGACACAGAGAGAAGCAACUGAGAGAUUCUAGGCCUAUAGAUGAAGAAUGAUGCCCCAAUGUUGCAGAGAAACUUUGAGUGACUGUCCAGGUAGCCAGCCUUCUCCACCAUUCUAGAUUUUUGGAAGUUGCUUACAAUGCAUUUCCUGUUUACUUAGGUAAUAUUAUAUCCUUCUGGGAUCUUUGAUCUAGUUGAAGACUAAAUAGCUACAGUUAUAAUUUUCCUUUGUUAUGAUACAAGAUAGAUAUGAAACUUUAGACUCACAAAUAAAGGAUAGAUGAUAAAAUAUUUUCCUUAAUUUUACCAAAUAUAAAUGGACUAGAUAUUGUAAUUGUAAUUCCUGCUUGAUAACUGUUCUAUUAUAUGUAAUUUUACUAUGUUAAAAUUAAAACCUCCUUUUUGAUUAGAUAGAAAAGGGGAAGUGCUGUGGGAUGUUGUUCUGUAUGCUGUGAAUAUGUGUUGCUCUGAUUGAUUGAUAAAUAAAGCACUGAUUGGCCAGUAUCCAGGCAGGAAGUAUAGGCGGGGUGAGCAGAAGAAGAGAAUGCUGGGAAGAGGAAGAGCAGAAUCAGGAGUUGCCAGCCAGACACAGAGGAAGCAAGAUGACAAGGCAGAACUGAGAAAAGGACUAAUAUGAGAAAGAAAGGGAGUUUAUCCCAGAGGUGAAGUGCUAGGGGAUGGUCCCCAAGGAGGGAGCCAGGAAGACAGCAAGACCACACUUUGAACAGGAUGAGCAUGAAUAGUGUCAGGAAUACACAAACAAAAAGCUAAAAUCAGAAUUUGAACUAAUCAUCCACUUUGAAUGUGGCCUGCUGUGGCACACUUCCCCAGGGACAGGAUGACCUCACAGGGUAUGAUUUGAUCCCCACUGACAAAUGGAGCUGCAAACAGAUGUGUGAAGGAAUGGGGCAUUGCCGUGACUCACUGCCACUUCGCCACCAUGUGCCUCCAGAUGAUGCCAGCUUCACCAGUCAUCAGAGGGCAGUCUGUACUCAUCUCUUCUUCGUGGUCUUGUGAAGACUGUACAGAUUUGCCAGUUUUUAAAAAUAUGAGACUUGGAAGCUGGUGAGAUGGCUCAGCGGUUAGAACACUUGCUGCUUUUCCAGAGGACCUGAGUUCCAGUUCCCAGCACCCACAACUAGUGGCUCACAAUCACCUAUAUCUCCAGCUCCAGAGAAACUGAUGCCCUUUUCUGGCCUCUUCAGCCACCCAAGUGUACACACAAACAUACACAAGAAUAAAUGCUAAA